rnacentral:rRNA from 1 species
UACGAAGGGGGCUAGCGUUGCUCGGAAUCACUGGGCGUAAAGCGCACGUAGGCGGCUUUCUAAGUCAGGGGUGAAAUCCUGGAGCUCAACUCCAGAACUGCCUUUGAUACUGGAGAGCUUGAGUCCGGAAGAGGUGAGUGGAACUCCGAGUGUAGAGGUGAAAUUCGUAGAUAUUCGGAAGAACACCAGUGGCGAAGGCGGCUCACUGGUCCGGUACUGACGCUGAGGUGCGAAAGCGUGGGGAGCAAACGGGAUUAGAUACCCGUAGUAC